rnacentral:rRNA from 1 species
GACGAACGCUGGCGGCGUGCUUAACACAUGCAAGUCGAACGGAAAGGCUCCAGCUUGCUGGAGUACUCGAGUGGCGAACGGGUGAGUAACACGUGGGUAAUCUGCCCUGCACUCUGGGAUAAGCCUGGGAAACUGGGUCUAAUACUGGAUAUGACCUUUCUCCUUAUGGGGUUUGGUGGAAAGUUUUUCGGUGUAGGAUGAGCCCGCGGCCUAUCAGCUUGUUGGUGGGGUGAUGGCUUACCAAGGCGACGACGGGUAGCCGGCCUGAGAGGGUGAGCGGCCACAUUGGGACUGAGAUACGGCCCAGACUCCUACGGGAGGCAGCAGUGGGGAAUAUUGCACAAUGGGCGGAAGCCUGAUGCAGCGACGCCGCGUGAGGGAUGACGGCCUUCGGGUUGUAAACCUCUUUCAGCAGGGACGAAGCGUAAGUGACGGUACCUGCAGAAGAAGCACCGGCUAACUAUGUG